GAGCCUUCCCAAGCCAAGCAGGUAAAAGACGCUUGCAUUGACUGCAACAAGAGGGGACUCCAGGCUUUGCCCAUCGAAUCCAACCGAGCACGUCAAGGCUUCCAGGCUACCCCAGGUGGAGGAACCCAGCAGGAAACGAUGGUGAAAGGGGCUGGGGCAGAGAGGGAGAACAGCAGCCCGAGAGAAGAGGAGGAAGAGGGAUGGCAGCAGACGCCAACACCGCGGGAGCUGCGGCCGGCCGUUACAGGGACAUGGAGGCGUAGCUGGGCACUUUCAUCAUUGUGAGACUCUGCACAGGUCCAUGUUGUGUACAGCCAUUUUUAUACGAAGACAAGACAUUUUCACAACGCAAAUAAUUGUGUUUGUAUCAAUUCCUACAUAAACCUGCAUCGCAUUGGGCAGUUUCCUUCCAGCUCUGUGGGUAUUUAGAGUGGGCCAGGGAUGUCUGUCACUCUCCCUCCGUCAGUGAUGAGGUGGUGUGAACUGGUAGUGAUCUCUGUCACUUGCCAUGAAGUCAGCAGAGACUACGUGCAGUAAGCUUGUAACAGAACUUGUAAUUUUAUGUAAGGAGCACUUAAUACAUUUCCUUUUUCAACUCAAGUUGGCUUUGGUGUACUUCUCUCUCUGGGCAGCGCCACUGGGGCAAAGGUGCAGUCAGUUAAACUGGAACUGAAACAAGUCUUGGUCUGUGUCAUUGGGAGCAAUUAGCAGAUGCCUGCCUUAGGAUCCAGGAGGGCUUGGCAAAGAGUGCUGCUGGGACCUGAGGGAAAACAGGCAGGCCUGCCCGGUUGCAUAAAGACAGGCCAAGAACCGUAAACUGGUCUGGGCAGGUGGCACAGCCACAUGUUUGGGGAGAGGGCACUACAAGGGCCUGCUAAGGAAAGCUCCAGGUGCCAUUGGGAAAGUGGGCAAAGGAAAGAAACCCCAAGGCAAGAGGGCAUCUCCCUUCUUUUGGGAUAGCCCAUCCCAAACUCGUCUGUGCUACUGUGGAAGGGGGAUGCAGCAAGGCUCUGUGCCUGGGGACACCAGGGAGGCCACCUGCCCCUUGCUGCUCACCUCUGCUCUCUGCAGCCGGGGCACCACCCUGCGCCCACGGAUCAGCCUGGCCCUGGACCAGCAGCGGGUGCUUUGCGCCGGGAAGGAGGCGACGCUGCAGACACAGCAAGAGCAGCAGCAGGAAGGCUGUGAUGAGGGUGCCGCAUCCAUCAUCCUCAUCGGGCCCAGCUGCUCCUUCAUUGCCCCUUUUGGAACACAUCACAAUAAAGCUUCCCAGUCCUUGCAGGAAUACAAGGAAUUCUACAAGUCUGAAUGCCAGUAGUGACAGCUGGAUAAUCAGUCUGCAGCUCAUCCAGGAGGAGGUGAGCUAUGGAGGACUGUCAUGGUUUGACAUGGAAGGGAAUUGCCUGGGAAGGAAGAGGGUCAAGCCAGUCAGUGAUUGAGAUUGGAUAUUGGCACUUGGGCUGAUCAGUUGAAGGCUGGACACACCUCUGAGAACACAGAGGGGUUAAAAGCCAGAACUCCCAGGGGAACUUUCUCUCUUUGGUUCUGGUCAGGGUGCAGUGCAGACUCGCCCCUGCCCGUCCCGUGGCUGAGUGGGGGAAGGGAGCCAUGCGGCCCAGCUUGAGGUAGGCCGAAGGGUGGAGGGACUGGAACCGGGACAGCUCCCUGCAGAUGGAAGGGUGGAGAAAUCUGGGAUGUCUCUGUUCCCCCACCAGAGUCCUUCUGGAGAGAGAGAGAAAGAGACAGCGACUGUCUGCCAGCAGUACACCAGCAGAGGAGGUGGAAGCAGGGGGAACAGUGUGGGAGCUGGAGGCCUCAGCCAAGGAGUCAGGACUUUUAACCCGUCCUUGAGAAAUGAAGGCUUUGUGAAAUAUUACUCCUACUCAGUUUGAAAGAGAGGAAGAGAGACAGCCUGGGACCUGGGAUGUUAAGAAAAUAUGGUGGGGGGAAGAUGAUGGCUUUUUGGCUGGACUUUUUCUUGUUAGCCAUAGACAGAACAAAUUUUCUCCUCCAAGAGAGAGACUGUAUUUUAGGAGGAUGCGUGGUGAGCCAAGAGACCUACUUCAGCAGCUGAGGAAAAAAGACAGGAGUGGAGUGAACAGAGAAGAGUUGAAGAGGUUUGUGGUGACACCCCCUGUCUUCAGAGAAGAAGAGAAGAAGAUCUCUGUUCCUGAGACCCUCAGCCCCAGGGGAGGAAGAAAAUGGGGGGUACUGUGGUCCCAAAAAUGAAAAACUGAACUGUUGUUUUUCCCCUCUUGGCAGAGCAUCUUUGAAGGAAAAAUCCUAAAAGCAGUCUGUCCAUCCAUGCAUUGGUGGUGAGAGCACUGUGCAUGGAAAGGAGAGAGUCACCAUGGCAAACUUUUUCUCCGGGCAAUGCCAUGUGUGACAUGGAAACACAAAGAGUGGCAGCUGUGUUUCUUGGGGGGUCCAUGGCACAGGAGAGACUCCUCUCUUCCUCGAUGGACUGAGUAUUAUCUGAAGGGUGGGGACCUGAUUGGGGGUCCAAGUUGUGCCUCACUGUGGUUUGUUGGAAUUGGUGGGGGGAGAAGGAAUGUUUUGGAAGGUUUUCAUUUUGGAUUUAGUGGGUUUUUUUUCCUUUCUUUUCCCUUUUAUAGUAGUAGUAGUUUAAUAAAGUUUCUCCUUUGUUAUUAAGCUUGGGCCUG
ensembl:lncRNA